CUCUGAUUCAAACAUUGUGUGUAUUUUGUACCUUGUAUGAUAAUGUCAACGUAUGCUUUUUAGUAGAACAUACAUCAUCCACACACAUGCACCGGUGUAAGCUUCUACAUCUGCUGACGUGAAGUAGAGAUUUAUUCGGACAACUCAUUCACAAGGAAAUAAAUAUGGUGGCUUUGCCACAUUCAAGACAUACAUAAAGGGUUUCUUACGUGAUUUGAAGUUGUC